GGGACCAUGGCGCAGUUGGCUAGCGCGCAGGUCUCAUAUUCUAUAUGAUCGAGUCGAAAAUAACGGCCCGAGUAAUCCUGAGGUCGGGAGUUCGAGCCUCCCUGGUCCCA